rnacentral:rRNA from 1 species
UACGUAGGGUGCAAGCGUUGUCCGGAAUUAUUGGGCGUAAAGAGCUCGUAGGCGGUUUGUUGCGUCGGCUGUGAAAUCCCGAGGCUCAACCUCGGGUCUGCAGUCGAUACGAGCAAACUAGAGUGUUGCAGGGGAGACUGGAAUUCCUGGUGUAGCGGUGAAAUGCGCAGAUAUCGGGAGGAACACCGGUGGCGAAGGCGGUUCUCUGGGCAUGUCCUGACGCUGAGGAGCGAAAGCGUGGGGAGCGAACAGG